rnacentral:lncRNA from 1 species
GAAGCAGGAGGAUCGCAAGUUUGAGGACAGCCUGGACAAUAGCCCUGCCUUGAAAUAAAAGUAGAAAGGGGCUGGGUAUUCGGCUCAGGAUAGAGCAUCCCGGCACAUGCAGGGGCAGAGGCGUCCCUCCUGGGGACACACGGCUGCCACCGACCUGCUUCCUUGUCACUCAUUUAUUCUUUUUUCUUGCACAAACCACACGUGUGACGAGUCCUGGCACACUGCCCUGUGCCUGGCCUUUGUGCAGUGACAGAGCAUCCGGUAGAUGCUGCAGGACAGACUAAGAAAGCAGCUUUAGAAAGUCAGGGCAACAGCCAGUGGUGGGCAGGCGAGUCACCAGCAGGGCGUUGGAGGAAAGCUUGGAAAAGUAUUUUAGGCUGCUGUGUUAGGAGGGGCAGGAGGAGGGGCCGGGCUCCUGGAGGUGACCCUGGGCUCCUUGCCCCACCACCGAAGUAGGUCACUGUGAGCACAGGGAGGCGCCGCGCUGUGUGGGAGGCACGGAUCUGGCGGGGCUGCGAUGCCAUCUGUGACUGCAGACUCCCAGGUUGCUGGUGGGGAGGAGCGGCUUGUCUAAGCGCCUGGCCUUACAGAUGGUGAAGCUGAGCCCAGAGGCAGAGGGACUGUUCCUGAGGUCACUAGCCAGGUGGGGACGGAGCAGGGGACCUGAGCCUGCGGGUCCCACCUUUGGCUGCAGCCCUUUUAAGGGUGCCAGGUUGCCUGAAAAGUUGUAUCUGGAUGCCCAGAUUUUACUCUGCCUUUUCUUCCUGCCUUGUGUAUCUAUCGCCCCUCUGCAAUUGAAAAUAAGAGCAUAGACACUGGGCUGUGGUACUGGCUUUGCUCUCCACCCCUUAGGGCUUUGACAGGGCAGCUGUGACCACAGGGCAGUACAGUCCACCUUGUAGAGGAUGGAUUGGUGGUGGUCUUGAGUUGUGCAGUGCACGGCCAUGCAAACUGUACCUAGCAGUCCUGGCUGUGAAGGGCUAAGUGACAUCAUGCCAUCAUGCCUGUCAAUCCAUUAGCAUAUGAAGAGAUCAUCAAAUGUUGGCCAUUAUUAUCUGCAUUUUUUGAUUUGUUUUGAGACAGGGUCUUGCUGUGUAGUCCACACUGGACUUGAGCUCAUUAUGUAGCCCAAGCUGUCCUCAAACUUGUAGUGAUCCUCUUGCCUCAGCUUUCCAAGUGUUGAGAUUACAGGUGUGCACUACCAUGCCUGGCUAUUAUUAUCUUUAUUUUUUUUUUGUUAUCAUGAAGAACCGGCUGUCUUAUCUUUUUUUUUUUUUGGUACCGGGGAUCGAACCCGGGUCCUUGCACUUGCACAGCAGGCAGCGAAACCACUGAGCUAAAUCCCCGGCCCAGCUGUCUUAUCUUUGAAGCAGCAAGGAAUGGAAGAGCUGAGUAGGAAAGUCAUCUUUUCAUCGUUUUCUUCUGUUAUUAAAGGUAACCAGAGCACUCAGUACAGAAAACCUGGAAAACGCAUAAGGAGACACAAAAUGACAAAAAAUAACAAGCCCACAUCCAGAACCACCCUUUUGACAUAUGGUGUAUGUUUUUCCAGGCUUUCAUUCCCUGUUUGUCUCUUUCACACAUUAGGAAAUUUUGCUUUCCUGUGGGAAGUCUGGCCUCCGCCCUCAGCUUUGAGGAGAGGACCCAGCACAGUGACCAAGAACAUGAAUUCUAUGUCUCCAUCACCUAGUUUCACAUGCCAGCUCUCACCUGCCUGCUGUGUGACCUUGGGCAAGACAGGGACAGGGACGGCCCCAGCACCAGGCAGCUGCAUCCUGGUCCGUCUUGGGCACACCUGCCCGUUCGACCGGGAUCUGGAGCCAGCCCCAAGUACUGACAGGCAGGCGGCUGGGCACCCUGGAUCACAGGGACCUGAUGAGGACAAGAGGCAGAACUUGAAGCACUGAUCCACUUGUCUGAGCCCUCAGAUGGAGACCAGAGAGAUUGGGCUGGGCAUGGGUGAGUGUGUUGGGGGACAUGAGGGUCUGUCCAGCAAGGUAGCCGGAUGCCUACCUUUCCGUGAGGGGGCUUCAGAAGCAGCUCCUUGCUGGAAGAAGGACCAGAACUCCUUUGUCAGAGAGCCCUGCACUAUUGUUUGAGAAAGCACUGGUCAUCUCCAUCCAAGAGCUGGCUGUGAGGCUGUCAUGGUUUGUGUUUGGCCCGAAGACCCUGAGAUGAAGAUAGCAGAGUGGAGAAGUGGUUCAGACGAGGGAAGGCAGCAAUGAAGUGUAUCGGGGAUGCUUGGGCCGGGGAUUUAGCUCAGUGGUUCUGCCGCCUGCCUUGCAAGCGCAAGGACCCGAGUGAUCCCCAGUACCAAAAAAACCCAACAAAAAAACCCCCAAACAACUAAGAAGACCUCAGACAACCCAGGGUGUGAUGGUCACCUUAACCUCAGGGGAAGAGCAACCAGGAUGCUAAAGCCCAUUUGUCACUGGUGGGGUUGCUCAGUGGCAGAGCACGUCCUUACCAAGCUUGCAGUCCUGGAUUCAAUUGCCUAGAACUAAAGAAAAAAACCAAACCAAAACAACAAUUAAACAGCAACAAAACCAGAAAGGCUAAAAAAUUUUUUACAGAUGAUAAAGACGUUUUGGACUUAGUGGUGGUGGUUCCACAUUGCAAAAUUUUAUGAAUAUGUUAAAAGACACUAAACUAUAUACUUUAGAAGGAUAAAUUUUAUGGGAUGUACAUUAUAAACCAUUUCAAAACUGACUCAGCCAAGCAUGGUAAGCCAUGCUUCUCAUCCCAGCUACUUGGGAGACAGAAGCAGGAGGAUCUCAAGUUCAGGCCAGCUGGGCCAACUUAGCAAGACCCAUAAAUACAUAAAUAAAUAAAUAAAAAUAAAGCUAGAUGAUAGAUCAGUGGAAUAGGAUUGGGAAUCCAGGUAUAACUCUUAUUUUUAUGACCCUUAACUUGAUUACAUCUGUGAAAACCUCUUUUUAAAUCACUAUACAAUCACAUUCGCAGCAGUUUCUUCAGAUUAGGACAUUUUUGUCACUCAUGGGGGUACCACACCCCCACCUUACAGAAGGGAAAACUGAGUUACUCAUUAGAGAAAUACAGUUAGUGACAGCAGGACAGAGAUGUGAACCUGGCCCAUCUGGCUCCAGAGCCCAUGUUGUGAAGCAAAAAGAAUGGAAGGGACAAGUCCAGGCCAGAUGUCUCCAGCUUCAUGGCGAGGGGUGCACAGGAGGAAAGAGACCAGUGUCACAACGACCAGUUAGGAGGAAGAUCCAGAAAGGAUCCAGAGAUAUCCAGAAAGACACCAAGAAAGACCUGGACUAAACUUAGUGAUAAAAUGAAGGGGGAGAAGGAGCAGAAAGCCUGGGUCCCAUCCAGUCAUUGCUUCCUCCUGGCCUUCCAUCUGCUGGGCCAAAUGGUCCACUGGGGCUUCCAAACAUAGUUUCACUGUUUCACUGGGGGCUGGAUGAUAAAGGUAUCACAGAGGGCUGUGACCUGUCCCCAGAAAGGAAGCUAGGACAUUUCUUACCUCUUUGCUUCUCUCUGGACAUACAUUUAAGUAAAACCAGAGAAGAUGACCCUCCAAAGGUGGUUAGACUUGAUAUAUCUCGUCCUGUCAAGGUAACACAUGAAAUGGACCAUCAGAAGUCAAAGUCUGUCUUAGUUGACUAGGGUUUCCCUAACAAAAUACCAUAGGCUCACUGGGUUUAUCUACUGAUUCUCAGUUCUGGAACCUGGAAGUAUGAUAUCAAGGCUGGUGUGGUCAGGUUCUGGUGAGGGCUCUCUUUCUGGUUUGGAGAUGGCUGCCUUCUCACUGUGUCCUCUUAUGGGAGGGAGGGAGGGAGGGAGGGAGGGAGAGAGAUAUCUAGAGUGUCUUCCUCUCCUUACAAGGGCAAUAAUCCUAUGAUGAAGGCCCCAACUCUAAGACCUUUUCUAAACUCAGCUCUCUCCCCAAG